rnacentral:rRNA from 1 species
AUUGAACGCUGGCGGCAGGCCUAACACAUGCAAGUCGAACGAGUGGCGGACGGGUGAGUAAUGUCUGGGGAACUUCCUGAUGGAGGGGGAUAACUACUGGAAACGGUAGCUAAUACAGCAUACCAUCGGAUGUGCCCAGAUGGGAUUAUCUCGUGUGUGGGGUAAAGGCUCACCUAGGCGACGAUCCCUAGCUGGUCUGAGAGGAUGAUCAGCCACACUGGAACUGAGACACGGUCCAGACUCCUACGGGAGGCAGCAGUGGGGAAUAUUGCACAAUGGGCGCAAGCCUGAUGCAGCCAUGCCGCGUGUGUGAAGAAGGCCUUCGGGUUGUAAAGUACUUUCAGCGGGGAGGCGUUACUCGCAGAAGAAGCACCGGCUAACUCCGUGCCAGCAGCCGCGGUAAUUC